rnacentral:rRNA from 1 species
GACAGAGGGUGCGAGCGUUAAUCGGAAUGACUGGGCGUAAAGGGCGUGUAGGCGGUGAGAUAAGUCAGGUGUGAAAGACUCGAGCUCAACUUGAGAACUGCAUUUGAAACUAUCUGACUCGAGAUCAGUAGAGGGGAGUGGAAUUUCCGGUGUAGCGGUGAAAUGCGUAGAUAUCGGAAGGAACACCAGUGGCGAAGGCGACUCCCUGGGCUGAUUCUGACGCUGAGGCGCGAAAGCGUGGGGAGCAAACAGGAUUAGAUACCCCCGUA